CAUUGAUUCAGGAGAUCACACAGACAGUGUGCCAGGAGUGAUUCCCCAUGGUUCAGUUGGAAUGGUCAUGGUACAGCAGAGCAGCUGCAUCCAGCAGGAUGGACCAUCACUGUAACAACUUCAGAUUCUAACCUCCACCACAUGAUGCUGAGCCCUCUCCCUCCAUGCCCACAUCCAGUUUAGCAAAUAACAGCCAUCUCAGUUCAAUUGGUUGCCAGAGGUCAUCCGAGAAUCCAGUCUACUGCAAUAUGAUGUCAGGUGAAUUCUAUGAUGCUGUAGCGAGUAUUUGCCCGGACAGCCUGGAUGACCAUGAACCAGAGACUAUGGCAUAGCUAAUGCCUCAGAAUCAACAGAGCAUCAGACUGUCUCCUCUCAGUCCUACCAGCCCUCUAAGAGCCUGCCGCCCAACCACAGCCUCCUUUCCCCCAACCAGCUGGUCUCCCCUGCUCCUCCUGGCUCUGGAUAUAGCUACAACCACAUGGCUGGAUCCUACUCCUCACAGAUCAGCAGCAUGCCCCUGUUUUUGACACUGACAGUCCUAGAUUACCUGUCAAUCAUAAUGAAAACUUGUCAGAAGAUAUGACCCUACCGUUAUGCUUGUUUACACUGUGCUGUUUACACUGUGCAAAUCAACCAUCAAACUUGAAAAGCUUCAUAACAAUUGACCAUGGAGUUGAAAUGUGAUAUGGAUAACGGAUGUCCCGCCAGUACCACCAGACCCCCUGACCCCUGUACCCUCACUCUCCGGCUCUGGUCCCUGAUGGUCAGUCCUCCGCUUCCAGUGUCGUACGUCUCAGUGGAUCUCUAUGGGACUCCAAAUCCAAGAAGUCACUCCUGGUCACUGCAACUGCACUAAAUCCUAUAAGUAUCUGUCAUUUCUAUUUUGGAUAAGUAAGAUAUACAGUCAUUUCUUUCAUACUCUUGUUAUCUGUUAUGUAGAGUUUUGCGUUUUAAGUAAUCUCACAUCUAGUGAGAAGGUUUGUUCCAUGUCCAGGCAAUGACUCAGCAAUCAUUGGGUGUUUUGUCAUAAUUCCUUUCACUCCUUGUGUCAUUUUCCAUUGUAAGCCAUCAUGACUGCUUCAUUGUGGCCUC